UUUCAUCCCAACACCAAAACGUCCGACCCGGCCUACUGGGAUAUCUCUUAUUCAGCUUAAAAUAUCAACACAACGCGUAUCAACAGAGCAGCCUUAACCCGUCUUCAAAAUAACAAUGGAACAAUAAAAACUCAACCCAUAUCCAAUGAAUCCCAAACCAACCCGUGACCAACAACCGAUUUCAACCCGUUUCUUUUUCCUCUUGGUCAUCAUGCGCUUUCCAUGCGGUUCAGUACUGAUAAGGACAUGAAAAUGCCGAGUUGGCAGCUAGGGCAUGUUUCAAAUGAUUAUUUCAUAAAAAUCGCUUGAAUCCAUUGGGAAUUUGUUUGAUUUGGUACUAUGAAGGUACAUAUGUGCUAAUUUUUAAUUGGGGGAAAAAGAAUUUUGUUUUCUUCUCAAGAUUUCAAAAUUCAAAAUUCCUUCUAGAAUUCCAAAUUGAGUACAUGAAUAUGUGAAAAUUGUUGUUAUCAUCCAAAAAAUUCAAAAUACCUCGUUGGAGAAAAUUCCAAAAUUACCCACCCUAAAUACCCUAAUCCCAACGUUCAAAGCUGAAGGGGGAUUCUCAAUUCUCUCCUAUAAAAAAGGUUUGGCUGUCCGUAAAGGGUUUUUUUUUGGGGAAAAAUUGCUUUGAAAAAAAAUCUGAGAGCUUCGACAACUUUCAAAAAGGGAAAUAUAGUUCUGUAGUACAAAUUCUUCUUUUUAAGAGAGGUAGACGACUGUUCGGAGAUUUUGGAGACACAGCAAUGUCCUCCGGUGGUAAUCGAGAUUCCAUCAAAAGUUCGAGUCCUGUUUUGCUGCCCUGAGAAAGGUAAAUAUACCUUUCUCCACUUGAUUUUAAUUGUAUAUUUCUUCUUCAUCCCUUUUCUCUGUGGCUGUGUGGUUAUUUGAAUGAUGAAAGUGGGGUCUACUGUAGAGGCUGUGUGGUUGUUUAAAUGAUAAAAGUAAGGUCUGUUGUAGAGGCUGUGUGGUUUUUUCCAAUGAUGAAACUAAAGUUUGUUGUAGAGGCUGUUAUAUGUUUAUAAUUGUGGUGACACUGUGAUUAUUCACUGUAGAGGCUCCAAAUGCCAUGAGUUUGAAUGAUGAAAGUGAGGUCUGUAAUAUGGUUGUGAUAAUUUUUUCUUAAGUGUCUAAUCUUUUUUGUUCAUGGUUUCAUCUCUGUUUGUUUUGGCUUUUUCAUUAAAAUCUGCGACCUCAUGCUAGUUUGACGUUGUUUGAUUUCUGUUCACAAGCCUAAAGUUAAAGUCUUUGUAAGAGCAUAAUCAAGAAAAUAGCAUGCUGUUUUUGUUCUCAUGUUAAUAAUGCAGAAAGUUUUUUUUUCCUUACAUAUAAAUGAUACUAAUAUUUGUUCUUGGUAAUGCUUUAUUUUUCUUUGAUCUGUGCGUGAGUUUCUUCUCCCAUUUAGAUAAUAAUUUCAGGGUUUAAAACUCUUGUUGUUUUGCAAGACCGUAUUUUGGAGAAUGACUAUGUUCAUUUUUGUUUUCCAAUAAUCGUUAUAGACUGAGAGAUAUUUGUACUGGCCUCUUAAUAGUUAUUCGUAUGAACUUAGCUGCUGGUCGUGUAGAUAGUCUUUUCCGAAUGGGCAUUUUGCUUUCCUAGUAGUUAUAUUGUCCUUCUUGGCUCAUCUAUUUUUAGAUCGUUGUAGGUGCAGUUUUGGAAUUGGCAUGUUCGGGUAUAGUUGCAGAUUCUUCUCUAAUUUUAAUAAAUGUAUUCUUCCCACUCGCUUCGUUCUAGCUAAUUUGAAUGGUUAUUUUGUGUUCAAAAUGAAAUGUUUCUUUGUUCUCUAGAAGCUAAUUUCCUUGAUGUUGAUUGGUUGUCUAAAUAAAGGUUCUAUGUAGUGACAAAAUCAGUAGAGUUACCAUCACAUUAAGGAAUUACAAAGGCCUCGAUCUUUAGCUAUUUCUAGAUCAAUAACUCUUAAUAUGAAUAAAAGUUGUUCCCUUUUGUUUUCCCUUUCUUUUGGUGGAUCAUGAAUUAAUUUCCUUCAUUCUUCUUUACUUGCAUGUAAACCCGUUUCGGAGCCCAAAUGGGAUCUUUCCCUUUGCAUCUCUUAAUGGGCCAUCAAGGCCCACCGUUUCUAUCGGGUCAGGCCGAAAAGGAAAUUCAGAGCCGAUUACGUAGCACAUGGAUACAAGAAGAUGGAAGAAAAAUUAAACGGGUUGAAACCCAUUGGUGAAGUAGCUAAGAGACUUAAAAGUCUCAUAUUAUUUAUUAUUAUUGUCAUCUUUUACUUUUAUUUAAUUCGCCUGUUUGUUUAUCUAUUUUUUUCAUUCAUUUGGGUCUCGAAGCCAGAGUUGUAAAUUUAAUAUAGGUGAAGCGGAUUUUGGGCCAAAAGGCUCAAAAACAUAGAUUCGGAUGGGUGAAAAAUGGGUCGAAAGCCCAACUAGAUUAGGAUAUGUUUCGUUGAUUUGGGCCCAAUGACCUAAGUCUUUUACUUCCUCCUCUCUUUUCCCUUUUACAUGUUUAUUUGCCUUUCAUUUUUUUAGACUCAGUCCAAAUCUAUUUUACACAAAUUGUUUUCCAAAAUCAAUCAAUUUGCAACAAUCAAUCCUUUUGAACUUAGUCUAAAGAUGUUAUCAAACAGUUCGGAUAAUAGCAAGUUUGCGGACGUUUUAGGUGCCUAAAAGCUUACUAAAAUGUUAAUAAGUAUUGCUUACUCAGAAUCGUUGAAACGUAAAUGAUUUUUUUGUUUUGGAUCAUUUGAAAUAUCAUAGAAAGGUUUUCUUAAUUCCUUUUAAAAAUUAAGUGGCGACUCUCAAAUGUUAAAAUUUUUGCAAAAUAGAAAUGGAAACUCUGCGGGGGAAGGAAAUCACACUUGGGGCAGAAUUUUUGAGUAGGAAUCUCAAGAAUUCAUAAGAGGAAGAUAAUCAUCCAAAAACAAAGAGGACAAAAACUAAUAAAGACUUCGGAUCCUCUUGAGUUGAGAUCAUCUCAAACAACUUUAAAUUGGGGAAGAAAUUUUGAGGUCCUCAAAAUUUCGACUAAGAUAUUGAAAUAUAUUUCAAAUCCCCCAGCAUAGAGGUCAAAGUUGAAUUUUUGAAAUCACCUGAUGCGAUAGAGCCUAGAUAGCUAAAUCUCCGACUAUGACAGAACUUCUUAUAGAGAGUCUCAAUGAUGAUGAAUCCCCGAUCCUCUAUCAAAUGUCAGAUACAGUUAGAAUCAAGUUGGGGACGUUCGUUGAGCUAGCACAUGACUAGCGGAGAUUUCCCAAAGCUUUUACACAAAUUUUUGAAACUAGUUUCUAAAAAUUAAAACUAUUUUUGAAUAUUUAUACAAAUAUUUUUAGUAAUUACCUAGGCAACAAUUGGGACGGGGAGUCAAGGGUGGAAUUCCCAACAUGACAAAGUGCCCAAAAGAUGGCGAGGAGUAUACCAAGGAUCGAAGGAGGUCAACAUGGAGUAGUUUCACUCAACUAAUUAUUUUUUUAUGAAUGGAGGGAUAAUUACACGAAAAUGGAAUCUUUUUCAAAAUAUCCACAAGCGAGUUGCGAACCACACCAAAGCAUAUAAUGGUCAUGAACGGUAUUUUCGAGUAACCCCAAAAACAGGUUUAAUAUACAUUUAUUGAGUACUUUUUGAAUUGUCUAUCUCAUUUCUUUAGACCAUGAAGGACAAACAGAGGCGCUUUAUCUUCUUUAUGAAUAUUGUAUUUAGAAUUUUCCUAAAAAAUAGUUGCUAGCAAAAGCGAUUUUGUGUCUACUAAAUAUUUACCUUGAGCGCAGGUACAUUCAAGGGAGUCGACACAAUAAAUACAACAAUCAAAAGGAUCACUCAAUAGGAGGAAGAGCAGAAAGUCAUCUUGAAAAUUUGUCUUGGAGCGAAGCAAAUGGUAUUUGAGUAAUCUUCAAACAAGAACUUUGCCCCAUUUACUUGUAUCCAAUGGAUUUGCUAUUUAAUUAUUUCUUCAAAAAGAUAUGAUUAAUAAUAGAAUAAGUCAUUCAAAUCAUGAUGCUCAGUAUUAACCUAUAAUAAAGCUCGACUGUGGUCGCCAGUGAGAGCGGCAUUAUGUCUACUGUCUACCUUGAGUACAGAUACUUGUAGAAGGAAAAACACAAACAAAUGAACUCAGGUGAAACUAUUUUCAAAUCACCGGAAGGGCCAUUUCAUAUUAUCUCAUCGUCGAGAGGGCCAUUUCAUGCCAUUGCCAAGAGGGUCAUUUCAUAUCACUGCCAAGAGGGACAUUUUAUGCCAUUGCCAAGAGGGACACUUCAUAUCAUUGUCAAGAGGGCCAUUUUAUAUCAUCUCAUCGCCGAGAGGGCUAUUUCAUGCCAUUGCCAAGAGAGCCAUUUCAUAUCAUUGCCAAGAGUGCUAUUUCAUGCCAUUGCCAAGAGGGCUACUUCAUAUUAUUGUCAAAAGAGCCAUUUUAUAUCAUUGCCAAAAGGGUCAUUUCAU
rnacentral:lncRNA from 1 species